rnacentral:rRNA from 1 species
AUUGAACGCUGGCGGCAUGCCUUACACAUGCAAGUCGAACGGCAGCACGGGAGCAAUCCUGGUGGCGAGUGGCGAACGGGUGAGUAAUAUAUCGGAACGUGCCCGGUCGUGGGGAUAACGUAGCGAAAGCUACGCUAAUACCGCAUACGAUCUACGGAUGAAAGCGGGGGAUCGCAAGACCUCGCGCGAUUGGAGCGGCCGAUAUCAGAUUAGGUAGUUGGUGAGGUAAAGGCUCACCAAGCCGACGAUCUGUAGCUGGUCUGAGAGGACGACCAGCCACACUGGGACUGAGACACGGCCCAGACUCCUACGGGAGGCAGCAGUGGGGAAUUUUGGACAAUGGGCGCAAGCCUGAUCCAGCAAUGCCGCGUGCAGGAUGAAGGCCUUCGGUUGGUAACUAGCUUUGUUACGG